rnacentral:tRNA from 1 species
AGUGUUGUGGCUCAGUGGUGGGGUACUCACCUAGCAAGUGACAGGUCCUGAGUUUGAUUCCCAGCACUGCCA